CUUUUGGUUUAUUUUGUCUUCUUUUAUCUUUAUAAUCACUUCUUUUAAUUGCAUAUUUUGCAGGUACACCUGGAAGGGGGGUGGUGGCGAGGGGGGGGGGUCAAGAAGGAUGGAAGUAACUGACCAGAUCUAUGGAUCUGAAUUCGGAAAACAGAGACAAGGACAUGAUAAAAUUUCAUGUACCUAAGGUUAGCAUUGUGAAGAAAAACUUAAUCAUGGGACUAUUAGAAACGAUGUUUUAAAGAUCAAAUUCGAACAUUGACUCGGAAAAGGUUAAAAUUCCAACAGUCGAACCGAUUCACCAAGGUUGAAUUGGUGAAAAAAAAAAAAAAUUGUUGAGGGUUUCGAUUUUAACUGGUGGGUUCUUACUUCUUAGCGUUGAAGAAUGUUGGAUUGUCCUCAUCAAGUAAUUGACACCCUUUCUUGUAAAUCAAAACUGUGCAAAAAACACGAAAGGUCACCCAACUUCCCCUUAAAUUUCAGCUGGGACCAUCUAACAUUUGUUCUGAACUGAUUACUAAAAUUUUCCAAUUUAUUUUGACAAGUGGAAGUUGAUUAGAUAAAAUUAGCUCACUUGUCAAAAUACAAAAUUAAGACGAGAGUUCCUCUAAAAUUUGAUACGAAUAUUUUAUCAAGUUGAGUGGAGCUAAUCUCAAAUAUAUAAAUAGGGAUGGAAAGUUGUGUGUUGAGUUAUGAGCGUGAACCAAACAUUGAAUCCAACAUGUCACUCACAAACAGAGGCUCGAGUGGAAGAACGGGUAAAAAAUUAGCAUAAUUUUCACAUACGGUGUUUGCAAUUUUGAGGGGAAAAAAAUAAUAAAAUGGUAAGCCUAUCUCAGAAGGCAAGCAUGUGGGACAGGUUGAAUUCAAUUUUUUUUAGGUGAGUUGGUUCGCAACACAAGAAAGCUCAAAUAAGCUCUUCCUAUUUAAUACCUCUAUAUAAAGGUCCCGUUUGG
rnacentral:lncRNA from 1 species